AUACGGAGGGUGCAAGCGUUGUUCGGAAUCACUGGGCUUAAAGCGCGCGUAGGCGGGUAGUUAAGUGCCUUGUGAAAUCCCACGGCUUAACCGUGGAAUUGCAGGGCAUACUGGCUAUCUUGAGGCAAGUAGGGGUGCAUGGAACUCUGAGUGGAGCGGUGAAAUGCGUAGAUAUUCAGAGGAACGCCAGUGGAGAAAUCGGUGCACUGGGCUUGUCCUGACGCUGAGGUGCGAAAGCGUGGGUAGCGAACGGGAUUAGAAACCCCGGUAGUCC
rnacentral:rRNA from 1 species